CGGAGGCAGCAGUGAGGAAUAUUGGUCAAUGGGCGAGAGCCUGAACCAGCCAUGCCGCGUGCAGGAAGAAGGCCCUCUGGGUUGUAAACUGCUUUUGACUAGGGCCAAAAAGACCAUGCGUGGUAAAUUGAGAGUACUAGUAGAAUAAGCACCGGCUAACUCCGUGCCAGCAGCCGCGGUAAUACGGAGGGUGCAAGCGUUGUCCGGAUUUAUUGGGUUUAAAGGGUGCGUAGGUGGCCUUUUAAGUCAGUGGUGAAAGCCUGCAGCUUAACUGUAGGACUGCCAUUGAUACUGAGAGGCUUGAGUACUGAUGAGGUAGGCGGAAUUGAUAGUGUAGCGGUGAAAUGCAUAGAUAUUAUCAAGAACACCGAUUGCGAAGGCAGCUUACUAAGGAGUUACUGACACUGAGGCACGAAAGCGUGGGGAUCAAACAGGAUUAGAUACCCUGGUAGU
rnacentral:rRNA from 1 species